AGAGGAGUUCACAGCACGUCAGCUUCAACAUCAACCAUGUUCUCUGGAGCUCUGCUGCUGCUGUUGGCAGCUGGAUGUGUGAAGGGUGAAACGUUGACUCAGCCAGCCUCUGUGACUGUGCAGCCAGGUCAACGUCUGACCAUCACCUGUCAGGUCUCUUAUUCUGUUAGCAGCUACUACACAGCUUGGAUCAGACAGCCUGCAGGGAAAGGACUGGAGUGGAUCGGAAUGAGACAAGGUUCAACCACAUACUACAAAGAUUAACUGAAGAACAAGUUCAGUAUCGACUUAGACUCUUCCAGCAACACAGUGACUCUAAACGGACAGAACGUGCAGCCUGAAGACUCUGCUGUGUAUUACUGUGCCAGAUA